UCCCCUUCCCCUAUCAGAUAUUUAACACCACUGUUAUCAUCGGUUUCUUCCAAUUCAAUCGUUCUCUUCAAUAAGGGUUUAUGACUGAAUCUCUACAGCCGCAUAAGGAAUUCGAUGGAUUACGCCAACUGAAAUCAAUUACCCCAUACGUUUCAUUCCUGCAAUUAUUUAACACCGAACCCAUCAUGGAAUUGGGUAGGGUUUUCACCCCUGCCCCAACUCAUCGGCCUUGUUGUUCUGGGAUUCUUUUUCGAUUUAUGGGAUGUUGUUAAUGGGUAUGAACAGGGUUUAGACAUUGCACAAAAUCAAAGAAGAUGUAAUCGGGAGAACCGAAUCCACGACUGUAAGUUUUAAAUCAUUCGAUUUGUUGAUUCCAAACAAAAGUUUUCACUUCUAAUUUACAACAGAUUUCAUGUUUAGGUUUAUUCAUGGCGAUUUUGCAAUUAGGGCUGCAGAUACAAGAGGGAAGCAUACAAUUCUAGGGCUGAAUUGAAGACGCUUAUUUUUUUCAACAAGAAACUCCCCAUUUGGAGGGGAAAGCUUGGAUCUAGGUACACAAGAUUGCAAGCGGCACUCAAGGUGCUAACGGCUCGCAUGUCGCCCAGACGCAAAAACUCCAUGUUACCGUGACAGGUCCUAAACUUCAUGUGGCCUAAACUUUUUCUCAUUUGGCGCUACUUUUAUGAGGGCCUUUUUUGUCAUGCUCUGCAUUGAAGGUGAUCAAAGGGAUUAAAGAAUAUUAGAUAGGCUUCGGGAUGAAAGCCAAGCAAAAGUUGAUGAGCUUAAAGAAAGAACUAAUUAUUACAUCACUCACCAGCUCAUUCAGCUUGUUUUGCAUAAAUAUGACCCAGAUCCAGCAGCAAAAGCAGUUGUUGCAUCUGUUCUUGCAUCAAAAUUUGGUGCAGAUUCGGGUCUGAAAGUGAUUCUUGGAGAUGAAUUACAAGUGCUCUAAUGUUAGACCCAUAGGCUUGGGCUUGUUCAAAAUCGGCUACUAAGAUGGUUGUGGGUCCGGGAACCGGUAAGCUAUGGAUCAUGUGCAAGCAAGAUGAUGCCCCUGAUCCCUACUUGUUAAUGUUCCUUUUAGUCAUUUUUUUGCAUGGUAUCAUUGACACUUUUUCAUUCUUUUAUUCCUUAAUAUCUUCUGUAUCCAGUGCACAUGACCACUUUGAACUUCAAUUUGUACAUUUUUUAAUGUGCAAUUCAACGUUAGUUGUGUCUUUGGUUU